GAACAGCUUGGGGGUGACACGAUGAUUGACCAUGAGCUGAUGUCUGUCAUUAUCCAUCGGUGUUGCCAGGCUGACCAGGAAGCCGAUGAAGAAUCGCCCUACCUAACAUGGAGGCACCAACUUCAACCCGAUUUUCUCGACAUUGGUGCUCACUACGGGGACAAGCUCAAGCUCCCCAUUACAAAGGUGAUUACCCGCUCGCCGAGUCGCUGCAUGGGAUGAGCGGCUGUAUCUCCUUCCGUACGGUGACCGACAAUGAGGUAGACAUGAAAGACUAAAGAUGGAAGACUGAUUGCCACAGCGGAUCUGUUCGGAUUUGGAUUGGAUUUAGUAGGGUGUGGAUAAGACGAGCUGUGUUGGGAAGGUUGGUGGCUACAACGAGUCAACGACCGAGCACCAUAGAUAUACUCCGUCACGCCGUUAGCCCAGAAUCUUCUGCAAGACGGCUCAUAUCGUCUACCUCCAUCCCGAGCCGCGCUCUUCAUGUCUAACGGGGUAAGGAUUGAUGCUUGUCAGACGUGGACCAUAGGACACUAUAAUAAAUCAAAUACAGAGUUCAUACCUGGGCCUAUACUUCUUGGGCUGUGCAUCUCGAGACGAACUUGUGGCAGAGAUAACGAGCACACAGGUGCUCGAGCUCACAAAAGCACAUUCGGUAUGAAAGGAUAUUCUAAUGUUGAUGUUGCAGAGCAAAAGUUUGGCUUCGAAGAGAGAUUUACUUGAGUUUCCAUUAGAAAAACCCAUAGUGAUACAGAAAGGUUUUUGGCACAGUUUGACAUGCAUGAAAAAUUGCUACGGGUUUACUAUUGAACUAAAAGCUUGGACUGAUC